rnacentral:rRNA from 1 species
UCNGUCGAGAACGCCCCAGAGAUGGGGUUCUCUUUGGACACUCGUAUACAGGUGGUGCAUGGNUUGUCGUCAGCUCGUGUCGUGAGAUGUUGGGUUAAGUCCCGCAACGAGCGCAACCCUUGUCUCAUGUUGCCAGCGGGUUAUGCCGGGGACUCAUGGGAGACUGCCGGGGUCAACUCGGAGGAAGGUGGGGAUGACGUCAAAUCAUCAUGCCCCUUAUGUCUUGGGCUUCACGCAUGCUACAAUGGCCGGUACAGAGGGCUGCGAUACCGUGAGGUGGAGCGAAUCCCAAAAAGCCGGUCUCAGUUCGGAUCGGGGUCUGCAACUCGACCCCGUGAAGUCGGAGUCGCUAGUAAUCGCAGAUC